CACUAAUGUUCCAUGCAAUACUUUUAAAACUGAUAACGCGAAGGGCGGAGCCAAACAGGCAAGCAGCCAAGAUGUGCUCAGCAAGAGCUCCCACGUCUGGGGACAAAAAACGGGGGGUACCCGAACUUCGACACCCACUGACCGCAGACCACGAUACCCGUAACCAGGAAAGACUACCGCAUCGAAUAGUGCCUCUUGCGCUCCUGCACAGCUGACC